rnacentral:rRNA from 1 species
CCUACGGGAGGCAGCAGUGAGGAAUAUUGGUCAAUGGACGAAAGUCUGAACCAGCCAAGUAGCGUGAAUGAUGACUGCCCUAUGGGUUGUAAACUUCUUCUAUAUGGGAAUAAAAUGUUCCACGUGUGGGAUUUUGUAUGUACCAUACGAAUAAGGAUCGGCUAACCCCGCGCCAGCAGCAGCGGUAAUACGGAGGAUCCGAGCGUUAUCCGGAUUUAUUGGGUUUAAAGGGAGCGUAGGUGGAUUGUUAAGUCAGUUGUGAAAGUUUGGGGCUCAACCGUAGAAUUGCAGUUGAUACUGGCAAGCUUGAGUACAGUAGAGGUGGGGGGAAUUCGUGGUGUAGCGGUGAAAUGCUUAGAGAUGACGAGGAACUCCGGUGGCGAAGGCAGUUCACUGGACUGCAACUGACGCUGAGGCUCGAAAGUGUGGGUAUCAAACAGGAGUAGAUACCCGUGUAGUC